GACGAACGCUGGCGGCGUGCUUAAUACAUGCAAGUCGAACGGAAAGGCCCUGCUUUUGUGGGGUGCUCGAGUGGCGAACGCGUGAGUAACACGCGAGUAACCUGCCCUUGUCUUUGGGAUAACUUUUGGAAACUGGGGCUCAUAUCGGAUAGGAGCUCUUGAUGCACGGGGGGGGUUGGUAAAUUUCGGCGGUUGGGGAUGGAAUCGCUGCUUACCCGCUUGUUGGUGGGGUAGUGGCUUACCAAGGCUUUGACGGGUAGCCGGCCUGGGAGCGUGGCCGGCCACAUUGCGACUGAGGGACGGCCCAGACGCCUACGGGAGGCAACGGUGGAAAAUAUUGCGGAAUGGGCGGAAGCCUGAUGCAGCAACGCCGCGUGCGUGAUGACGGCCUUCGGGUUGUAAACCACUUUCGACGUUGACAAGGCGUGAGUGACGGUAAUUAGUAAAGAAGCACCGGCUAACUACGUG
rnacentral:rRNA from 1 species